AUUGAACGCUGGCGGCAUGCCUUACACAUGCAAGUCGAACGGUAACAGGUCUUCGGAUGCUGACGAGUGGCGAACGGGUGAGUAAUACAUCGGAACGUGCCUAGUAGUGGGGGACAACUACUCGAAAGAGUGGCUAAUACCGCAUGAGAUCUACGGACGAAAGCAGGGGAUCGCAAGACCUUGUGCUACUAGAGCGGCCGAUGGCAGAUUAGGUAGUUGGUGGGAUAAAAGCUUACCAAGCCGACGAUCUGUAGCUGGUCUGAGAGGACGAUCAGCCACACUGGGACUGAGACACGGCCCAGACUCCUACGGGAGGCAGCAGUGGGGAAUUUUGGACAAUGGGCGCAAGCCUGAUCCAGCAAUGCCGCGUGCAGGAUGAAGGCCUUCGGGUUGUAAACUGCUUUUGUACGGAACGAAAAGCCCCGGGUUAAUACCCUGGGGUCAUGACGGUACCCUAAGAAUAAGCACCGGCUAACUACGUGCCAGCAGCCGCCGUAA
rnacentral:rRNA from 1 species